UUUUACUUUGAAACUGCGAAUGGCUCAUUAUAUCAGUUAUAGUUUAUUAGAAAUACUUUACUACUUGGAUAACCGUAGUAAUUCUAGGGCUAAUACAUGAAUAAAUCCUCAACUUCGGAAGAGGUGUGUUUAUUAGUAUGAAAACCAUAUAUCUUCGGAUAUAAUAGUGAGUAAUAAUAACCUUUCAUAUCGUAUGUCGUAAGAUAACGAUAGUUCUUUCAAGUUUCUGCCCUAUCAGCUUUCGAUGGUAGUAUAUGGGACUACCAUGGCAGUAACGGGUAACGAAGAAUUUGGGUUCGAUUUCGGAGAGGGAGCCUGAGAGAUGGCUACCACAUCCAAGGAAGGCAGCAGGCGCGUAAAUUACCCAAUCCUGACAUAGGGAGGUAGUGACAAUAAAUCACAAUGCGGAACUUUUUAGUUUUGCAAUUGGAUUGAGAACAAUGUACAAAUGUUAUCGAUAAACAAUUGGAGGGCAAGUCUGGUGCCAGCA
rnacentral:rRNA from 1 species